CUUUGUACUUUCUCGGCCUCCUGGUUGCAGCGCUCCACCCGGGUGGUGUAUUUGCGGACUUCCUCCUGCGACUUGGUCGGGUCGGCCUUCGCGUGUGUUUCCCUGGUAACCGCCGUCCACUCCUCCUUCCUGGCCUGAUGGCAGCGAUAUUGAACCCUUGCAGCAGCGUCUAUAAAUCCAGCUUCACUGAAACCACUCAGUCAGUCCUCACCUCUUUCAGUUUGCGGACCCAGGGUUUCUGUGCUUUGCGGAAGCCGUCGUCUGCAUCCUUGGUCUCCCUGAAGCCUCCCAUCAUCUGCUUAUGGAAGGCGUCCUUCUGCCAGUUGCGCAUCUUCUCGCUGUCCUCGCCCGCCAGCCGCUCCCGAAGCUCCAGAUGCAGCUCGCUGAGCCGAUCGGCCGCCUGCAUAAAGGCAUGCCACGCUUUCUCCAGCGUACCGUACUGAGGACCUGAGGCAAAUGAGUGAUUUAUACAGCAAAGUUCAUCAUUUUGGCCAAAGAGUUUUGCCAUUAUUCCAUCUUGUGAAAGGCAGUGAGUCUUUUGUGGGGAAAAUAUGGCCUCAAUAAAAAUUUGAAUAAAUAUGCAUUUAAAAUGA